rnacentral:rRNA from 1 species
AGUGAACGCUGGCGGUAGUCCUAACACAUGCAAGUCGAACGGCAGCACAGUAAGAGCUUGCUCUUACGGGUGGCGAGUGGCGGACGGGUGAGGAAUACAUCGGAAUCUACUUUUUCGUGGGGGAUAACGUAGGGAAACUUACGCUAAUACCGCAUACGACCUACGGGUGAAAGCAGGGGAUCUUCGGACCUUGCGCGAGUGAAUGAGCCGAUGUCGGAUUAGCUAGUUGGCGGGGUAAAGGCCCACCAAGGCGACGAUCCGUAGCUGGUCUGAGAGGAUGAUCAGCCACACUGGAACUGAGACACGGUCCAGACUCCUACGGGAGGCAGCAGUGGGGAAUAUUGGACAAUGGGCGCAAGCCUGAUCCAGCCAUACCGCGUUGGUGAAGAAGGCCUUCGGGUUGUAAAGCCCUUUUGUUGGGAAAGAAAAGCAGCAGGUUAAUACCCCGCUGUUCUGACGGUACCCAAAGAAUAAGCACCGGCUAACUUCGUG